rnacentral:rRNA from 1 species
AAAGUCGUAACAAGGUUUCCGUAGGUGAACCUGCGGAAGGAUCAUUAUUGAUUGCGAAUCGUUGUCUCCAGUGCUGGCCAGUCCUUCUGGCAAGUGCACGUUGGCGGCUUUUCAUCCAAUACCCCUGUGAACCUUUGGCCUCUUGCUAGCCUUGGCCGGCAGAGGAAUUUUACACCCACUCGAAUGUAAUGAAAUUAUUGUUGUGCGKAAGCACUAAUGUACAACUUUCAACAACGGAUCUCUUGGCUCUCGCAUCGAUGAAGAACGCAGCGAAAUGCGAUAAGUAAUGUGAAUUGCAGAAUUCAGUGAAUCAUCGAAUCUUUGAACGCACCUUGCACCCUUUGGCAUUCCGAAGGGUAUGCUCGUUUGAGUGUCAUUGUACUCUCACACUUCUGAUCCUUUGGAUUGGGAGCGGUGGACUUGGGUGUUGCUGCUUUGCGGUGGCUCACCUCAAAUGCAUUAGUGCAACUCUUGGUUGGACAUAGUACGGCGUGAUAAGUGUCUUCGCCGGCGCCUCGCAAGAGGGUGGCUGAUCAGGAGCUCUGUGCCUCCAACSGUCUGUCUUCAGACAACAACUUGACAACUUGACCUCAAAUCGAGUAGGACCACCCGCUGAACUUAAGCAUAUCAAUAAGCGGAGGAAAAGAAACUAACAAGGAUUCC